GUGCUCGCUUUAGCAGCACAUACAGGAAAAUUGGAAGGAUACAGAGAAGAUCAGCAUGGCCC
ensembl:snRNA U6 U6 spliceosomal RNA